rnacentral:rRNA from 1 species
CCUACGGGAGGCAGCAGUGAGGAAUAUUGGUCAAUGGACGAGAGUCUGAACCAGCCAAGUAGCGUGAAGGAUGACUGCCCUAUGGGUUGUAAACUUCUUUUAUAAAGGAAUAAAACGAGGCACGUGUGCCUUUUUGCAUGUACUUUAUGAAUAAGGAUCGGCUAACUCUGUGCCAGCAGCCGCGGUAAUACGGAGGAUCCGAGCGUUAUCCGGAUUUAUUGGGUUUAAAGGGAGCGUAGAUGGGUUGUUAAGUCAGUUGUGAAAGUUUGCGGCUCAACCGUAAAAUUGCAAUUGAUACUGGCAGUCUUGAGUACAGUUGAGGUAGGCGGAAUUCGUGGUGUAGCGGUGAAAUGCUUAGAUAUCACGAAGAACCCCGAUUGCGAAGGCAGCUUACUAGACUGUGACUGACAUUGAUGCUCGAAAGCGUGGGUAGCAAACAGGAUUAGAUACCCGAGUAGUC